rnacentral:rRNA from 1 species
GACGAACGCUGGCGGCGUGCUUAACACAUGCAAGUCGUACGGUAAGGCCCUUUCGGGGGUACACGAGUGGCGAACGGGUGAGUAACACGUGAGUAACCUGCCCACAACUUUGGGAUAACGCUAGGAAACUGGUGCUAAUACUUGAUAUGUGCUCCUGCCGCCUGGAGGGGGUUGGAAAGAUCCGGGGGUUGUGGAUGGAUUCGCGGCCUAUUAGCUUGGUGGUGGGGUAGUGGCCUACCAAGGCGGGUACGGGUGGCCGGCCUGGGAGGGUGACCGGCCACAUUGGGGCUGGGAUACGGCCCAGACUCCUACGGGAGGGAGCAGUGGGGAAUAUUGCACAAAUGGCGCAAGCCUGAUGCAGCAACGCCGCGUGCGGGAUGACGGCCUUCGGGUUGUAAACCGCUUUCAGCAGGGACGAAGCUUUUUGUGACGGUACCGGCAGAAGAAGCACCGGCUAACUACGUG